rnacentral:lncRNA from 1 species
ACGAGUUUUGAGGUUCCUUCCAGGCACCCCUUGAUUUGGGGGUUAGCUGUCUGCAGAAAGGGAACAUACCAGUGAAAUCAUAAAGCAGAAGAGAAUGGCAGAAAACACCAAGGCUGAUUCAGAACUUCAGGAUUUGGAGUGGGACCUUCAAUCUCCCGAAUUUCUAUGGCAAAAAGAGAGGAAAGUACUUUCAGACUGCACUUCCUUAGGAGAGGAGCAUUGUUCUGUCUCACCAGGUCCAUUUAGUAUUAAGCCCAGGGUAAUAAACUGCUGCAUGGGUCAAAGUGGUUUUCCCCAGAUAGGAGGAUAUAUGGACAAGCAGAUGCUGUCCUCAGCUGUGUGA